UUUGCCGUACUCAAAAGAUAAGAAUGAAAAACUAACUCCCAUUUCGAUUAGAAAGAAACUAAAUCUCACACUGUAUUGGUACAACUAUAUGGCAAUAUGGCAUGUAACUAUGUAAGUGAUUGCAUAAGUUUGACUUUGAGUAUUGGCUAUUGCAGAUGACGAAGACAUGGAUCUCCCUCCAUUGUACGGUGAUGGUGAUGAUGAUGAUGAUGAUGAUGAUGAUAACGAUGAGGAUGAAAUAAAAAAAUUGUCUAUGAACAUAUGUGCAUCAAUAGUGUCAUGAGCAUAUCUAUAUAUAUAUAUAUAUGCAAGUCGAUCAUAUUUAUGCAAAGUGAUUACAUGUGCGUAGAUAAGCAUAUGAACAUAUGUAUGCAAUUAUAUUGUAAAUGAUGUUUUAUAAGAUUUGUUGAUGCAUAUGUAUGCAAAAUGGAUAAUGUAAAUAUGUUUUUCAUGAUUAAUUUAUUUUGUUUUAUGAGCA